ACGUAAGACGUUCGACUUCCUGGCCUGUUGUUGAACACUCCCCAUAAAAACCUGGCAACAUCACCUCUGUGACCCCUCAUCUGUUCUUAAUGAGCCAGCACAUGCAGGCGAAGACGCCAAGUAAGUUCAGCUCGGACAGCCGACUUGAGAAGAAACACGAAAAGAAGAUCAUUUAUUGAUCCCCAGAGGGGAAGUUGAAGCGACAGCAAUGCAAGGUGAUGGGGGACUGCUGGAGAGUGGGGGGAAAACAGCGCCAGGAAGCGAAGACAAAGGAAAAGUUUUUGGUUUCCACCAUUCCCUGUCCUGUGGGUGGAGUCAACCAAUCAGAUCCUUCUAGUCACGUGCUGCCUAGGUGUGCUUCCUGUUCUGCCCAACAUGUUGUGCCAUGUGACAGGUCGCCGCCACGCACAUUGAAAGCUUGUGACAUUAGGGCGGUGAACUCCCGUGCGCAGAGCUGAGGGUGACACGAUUCUUGCUCCGACUGUCUGUCAGAUGGUCUCUGCCGCGACUUGGAAGCCAUUUUUCAAGCAACUGAGGAAUGUCGCUGAAGCACGAUCAAAGGUGACUGAGGUGGAAAAAAAGGAAGCACUUAUGAACAUGAGCAGAUGCACACCGUUGUUCUCCUCCGAAGCACCAACGAGAGGAAUCCGUCUGGGCAGGCGUGGUCAUAAGUGAAGGCUUUGUAAACCACCAGGAACACGAUGCAAGCCAGGAAGGCCAAGGCCAGGAUGAUCAGGAUGGUGACCUGCAAGCAUCAGUCAGAUGGCAAGAUUCGGCUUUUUUUCUCCCCCCCCAGAGUAUCGGAUGCUUUGGGGUCACCUGCUCCUCUCUACUUGUUUUUGAUGCCAACCGUCAGCAGAAGCCCAGACGUCAAGUCUUUGGGUCUCUUCUGAAGCAAGGACGUUGGAAUUCGACUGGGGUAGGAAGUGACUCUUCUUAGGUGCUGAAGUACACUGCAGCAAGCAAGAAAGAAGACCAAUCAUGUCCAAGUCAAUUCAUGCACAACUUAUUCAUAUGUACAAAUCAUUCAAAUAAUUCUUACCAAUAAUGACAAUGAGCACAAUCACGCAUAUCACACCCAGGAUAAUCAUCAUCUGUGGGGAGAAGAUCGAACACACAGGAUCAGAAUUGUAGACGACAAAUAUAGUGUGUCGCUCACCUUAGCGUUCUUCCACCAGUACUUGUUCUUCAGUUUGGCAGCGCUGGUCUCAAACUGAGAGGCUCCAGCCUGCAGAGCGUCAGCCCUG